GACCCAGUAGCGAGAAGAAUCGCGCCGGCAGCAUGUACACGGUCAUAGCCACAAGCUUUGAAGUCGGAGAUGAUCCUGGUUCGAAUCCAGGCUGGGUCA